GGAAUUUUGCGCAAUGGACGAAAGUCUGACGCAGUAACGCCGCGUGGAGGAUGAAGGCCUUCGGGUUGUAAACUCCUGUCAGGGGGAACGACGUCGAUAAGACGAAUAGCCUUAUCGAUCAGACGGUACCCCCAAAGGAAGCCCCGGCUAAUUCCGUGCCAGCAGCCGCGGUAAUACGGAAGGGGCGAGCGUUGUUCGGAAUCAUUGGGCGUAAAGGGCGCGUAGGCGGUCUCGUAUGUCUGCUGUGAAAGCGCACGGCUUAACCGUGAAGAGUCGGUGGAAACUGCGAGACUUGAGGCAGGGAGGGGCUGGUGGAAUUCCCCGUGUAGCGGUGAAAUGCGUAGAUACGGGGGAGAACACUCGUGGCGAAGGCGGCCAGCUGGACCAGUCCUGACGCUGAGGCGCGACAGCGUGGGGAGCA
rnacentral:rRNA from 1 species